CGAGAAAGCCCGCAAGGGUGAGUAAAGCGGCGCACGGGUGCGUAACACGUGGUAAUCUGCCCUGAGGUCCGGAAUAACUUCCCGAAAGGGAUGCUAAUGCCGGAUGAGACCACGGGAGCCUCGGCUCCUGCGGGAAAAGGUGGCCCCUGUACACAAGCUAUCGCUUCAGGAUGAGCCCGCGGCCCAUCAGCUCGUUGGCGGGGUAAUGGCCCACCAAGGCUACGACGGGUGGCUGGUCUGAGAGGACGAUCAGCCACACUGGAACUGAGACACGGUCCAGACUCCUACGGGAGGCAGCAGUGGGGAAUCUUGCGCAAUGGGCGAAAGCCUUGCGCAGCAACGCCGCGUGUGUGAUGAAGGUCUUCGGAUCGUAAAGCACUGUCGCGAGGGACG
rnacentral:rRNA from 1 species